CGGAGCCGGCUGGCGGUUACGGGGGAUGCUAACCCCCUGAGGAAGCUCCGUCCUCCCCGUGGCAUCAGGACCCCGAAAGGGGUACGGGGGAACCCGUGGCAACGGCACAGAAACGGCACGCCCACCAACAGAUGUAGAUGAUGCGGUGAGGGCCGUCCGGCAACGGACGGCCAGUAACCCGCUGAUUAUGUUGGUGGGUGCGUUGAAACGGCCGACCCCUGGGGAGUAAGGCCAAGUAGCACCGAUGAAGGCCACGUGAGGUGCGGGUAGGCCGCCUAGUCAAAUACCGCCGAAGUACAGAAGACGGGCUAAAGCCGGCUCCG
rnacentral:RNase_P_RNA from 2 species